UGGGGAAUAUUGCACAAUGGGGGAAACCCUGAUGCAGCGACGCCGCGUGAACGAAGAAGGUAUUCGUAUCGUAAAGUUCUGUCCUAUGGGAAGAUAAUGACAGUACCAUAGAAGAAAGCUCCGGCUAAAUACGUGCCAGCAGCCGCGGUAAUACGUAUGGAGCGAGCGUUGUCCGGAAUUAUUGGGCGUAAAGGGUACGCAGGCGGUUUAAUAAGUCGAAUGUUAAAGAUCGGGGCUCAACCCCGCAAAGCAUUGGAAACUGAUAAACUUGAGUAGUGGAGAGGAAAGAGGAAUUCCUAGUGUAGUGGUGAAAUACGUAGAUAUUAGGAGGAAUACCAGUAGCGAAGGCGACUUUCUGGACACAAACUGACGCUGAGGUACGAAAGCGUGGGGAGCAAACAGG
rnacentral:rRNA from 1 species